GUGUCUGUUGGAAACCCUGAGGGAGAUGUUGGACACGCGGAUCUGUCUUAUCUGGAGGCCCAGGGAAAGAUCUGAGCUGAAAUAUGAAUUUGGGAGUGGCCAGAAUACAGGUGUUUCUUAAAGCCAUGAAACUAGAUGACUUUAAAAUAACCUUCAGGUGAAUCCAAGAUGGCUGAUUAGAAACAGCUGCGGUCUGAGGCACUUACAGCGAAGAAUGAAAACGGGUGAGUGAAUUCAGCACCUUCAACUGAAAUAUCCAGGUUCUCACAUUGGGACUAACUAGGCAAACAACUCGACCCACGGAGAAUGAAAAGAAGUGGUGGGAGGGUCAAUGGCCCACUCAGCAGUGGCACGGAGCCAAAGGAACCUCCACCACCAGCCAAGGAAGUGGUGAGCGAUUGUGGACCCUGCUGGGAAAUCAUGCUUCUCCCAUGGAUCUUUGCAACCGUGGAUCAGGAGAUCCCUUCAUGAGCCCCCACCACAAAGCGCUUGGGCCCGAUACACAGAGCUUUGUGGAACUUCAGCAGAGCAGCCACUCAGCCACACAGAGAGACCCAGGCGUUUUACAUACUCCGGCCCCAGGAUCCCUGGCAAGGUGGGAAAUCCAUCCUUCCAGAUUCCUGGGAAGAGGGCUGACUCCAUGGAGCCAAGCAGAAUCAUUCCGCAGUCCUCACUUUCAUGGCACAUCACAAGUUAAGACCCACUGGCUUGGAAUCCCAGCCAGCCAACAGCAACAGGCUGGACUCUGCCUGAUAAGGGUCCGAGUUCCCAGGGGAGGGGUGGCUGCCAUCUCUGCAAUUCGGUAGACUCAGCCGUUCCAGCCUGCAGACUUUGGAGAACACAAGUGGUUCAGAUGAGAAGGGGUCCCCCACAGGCAGCACAGCUGCCUUGCCAGAUCAUGGCCAAAGUGGUUCUUUAAGUGUGAUCCCAUCCACUUCUCCUCACUGGGUGGGUCCUCCCUGCAGGGGCUUCAGCCACUCCAGCCAGGGUUCUAUGGAUA